AACGAACGCUGGCGGCAUGCCUAACACAUGCAAGUCGAACGAGACCUUCGGGUCUAGUGGCGCACGGGUGCGUAACGCGUGGGAACCUGCCCUUAGGUUCGGAAUAACUCCCCGAAAGGGGUGCUAAUACCGGAUAAUGUCUUCGGACCAAAGAUUUAUCGCCUUUGGAUGGGCCCGCGUUGGAUUAGUUAGUUGGUAGGGUAAAAGCCUACCAAGGCGACGAUCCAUAGCUGGUCUGAGAGGAUGAUCCGCCACAAUGGGACUGAGACACGGACCAGACUCCUACGGGAGGCAGCAGUGGGGAAUAUUGGACAAUGGGCGAAAGCCUGAUCCAGCAAUGCCGCGUGAGUGAUGAAGGCCUUAGGGUUGUAAAGCUCUUUUACCCGGGAUGAUAAUGACAGUACCGGGAGAAUAAGCGCCGGCUAACUCCGUG
rnacentral:rRNA from 1 species